rnacentral:rRNA from 1 species
AAAUUGAAGAGUUUGAUCAUGGCUCAGAUUGAACGCUGGCGGCAGGCCUAACACAUGCAAGUCGAGCGGAAACGAGUUAUCUGAACCUUCGGGGAACGAUAACGGCGUCGAGCGGCGGACGGGUGAGUAAUGCCUGGGAAAUUGCCCUGAUGUGGGGGAUAACCAUUGGAAACGAUGGCUAAUACCGCAUAAUAGCUUCGGCUCAAAGAGGGGGACCUUCGGGCCUCUCGCGUCAGGAUAUGCCCAGGUGGGAUUAGCUAGUUGGUGAGUUAAGGGCUCACCAAGGCGACGAUCCCUAGCUGGUCUGAGAGGAUGAUCAGCCACACUGGAACUGAGACACGGUCCAGACUCCUACGGGAGGCAGCAGUGGGGAAUAUUGCACAAUGGGCGCAAGCCUGAUGCAGCCAUGCCGCGUGUGUGAAGAAGGCCUUCGGGUUGUAAAGCACUUUCAGCAGUGAGGAAGGCGGGUACGUUAAUAGCGUGCUUGUUUGACGUUAG